GACGAACGCUGGCGGCGUGCUUAACACAUGCAAGUCGAACGGAAAGGCCUGCUUUCCCUUGUGGAUUGCGGGUACUCGAGUGGCGAACGGGUGAGUAACACGUGAGUGAUCUGCCCCCAACUUGGGUAUAAGCCUGGGAAACUGGGUCUAAUUCCCGAUAGGACUGCAGGGUGGUGCCUGUGGUGGAAAACGAUUUUCUAGUGGUUGGGGAUGAGCUCGCGGCCUAUCAGCUUGUUGGUGGGGUAAUGGCCUACCAAGGCGGCGACGGGUAGCCGGCCUGAGAGGGUGGACGGCCACAUUGGGACUGAGAUACGGCCCAGAAUCCUACGGGAGGCAGCAGUGGGGAAUAUUGCACAAUGGGCGGAAGCCUGAUGCAGCGACGCCGCGUGGGGGAUGACGGACUUCGGGUUGUAAACUCCUUUCGACCGCGAGGAAGCCACCUGGUUGGAAGGGUGGUGACGGUAGUGGUAGAAGAAGCACCGGCUAACUACGUG
rnacentral:rRNA from 1 species